rnacentral:rRNA from 1 species
GACGAACGCUGGCGGCGUGCUUAACACAUGCAAGUCGAACGGAAAGGCCCUGCUUUUGUGGGGUGCUCGAGUGGCGAACGGGUGAGUAACACGUGUGUAACCUGCACUUGACUUUGGGAUAACUUCAGGAAACUGGGGCUAAUAUCGGAUAGGAGAUCCUGCUGCAUGGGGGGGGUUGGAAAGUUUCGGCGGUUGGGGAUGGAAUCGCGGGUUAUCCGCUUGUUGGUGAGGUAGUGGCUUACCAAGGCUUUGACGGGUAGCCGGCCUGAGAGGGUGACCGGGCACAAUGGGCCUGAGAGACGGCCCAGACUCCUACGGGACGCAGUAGUCGGGAAUAUUGCACAAUGGGCGGAAGCCAGAUGCAGCGACGCCGCGUGCGGGAUAACGGCCUUCGGGGUGUAAACCGAUUUCGACGGUGACGAAGCGUGAGUGACGGUAAUUGGUAAAGAAGCACCGGCUAACUACGUG